CCUACGGGUGGCUGCAGUGGGGAAUAUUGCACAAUGGGGGAAACCCUGAUGCAGCGACGCCGCGUGAGUGAAGAAGUAAUUCGUUACGUAAAGCUCUAUCAGCAGGGAAGAAAAUGAUGGUACCUGAGUAAGAAGCCCCCGCUAACUACGUGCCAGCAGCCGCGGUAAUAAGUCGGGGGCAAGCGUUAUCCGGAUUUAUUGGGUGGAAAGGGAGAGUAGAAGGUGGGCGAAGGCUGGAGUGAAAUGCCGCAGCUUAACUGCGGGACUGCAUAGGAAACUGGCGAACUAGAGUGCGGGAGGGGUAAGCGGAAUUCCUAGUGUAGCGGUGAAAUGCGUAGAUAUUAGGAAGAACACCGGUGGCGAAGGCGGCUUACUGGACCGUAACUGACGUUGAGGCUCGAAAGCGUGGGGAGCAAACAGGAUUAGAUACCCUGGUAGUC
rnacentral:rRNA from 1 species